rnacentral:rRNA from 1 species
AUAUGGCUCAGGAUGAACGCUAGCUACAGGCUUAACACGUGCAAGUCGAGGGGCAGCAUGGUCUUAGCUUGCUAAGGCCGAUGGCGACCGGCGCACGGGUGAGUAACGCGUAUCCAACCUGCCUUACACUCUUGGACAGCCUUCUGAAAGGGAGAUUAAUACAAGAUGUUAUCAUGAGUAAGCAUUUUCACAUGAUUAAAGGUUUACCGGUGUAAGAUGGGGAUGCGUUCCAUUAG